rnacentral:rRNA from 1 species
ACUGAUGUGUUGUUGGGUAGGGGAGCGUUCUGUAAGCCGUUGAAGGUGGCCUGUGAGGGUUGCUGGAGGUAUCAGAAGUGCGAAUGCUGACAUAAGUAACGAUAAAGCGGGUGAAAAGCCCGCUCGCCGGAAGACCAAGGGUUCCUGUCCAACGUUAAUCGGGGCAGGGUGAGUCGACCCCUAAGGCGAGGCCGAAAGGCGUAGUCGAUGGGAAACGGGUUAAUAUUCCCGUACUUGGUGUUACUGCGAAGGGGGGACGGAGAAGGCUAUGUUGGCCGGGCGACGGUUGUCCCGGUUUAAGCGUGUAGGUGUGUGUUCCAGGUAAAUCCGGUUCACUUUAACACUGAGGCGUGACGACGAGGCACUACGGUGCUGAAGCAACAAAUGCCCUGCUUCCAGGAAAAGCCUCUAAGCCUCAGGUAACAUCAAAUCGUACCCCAAACCGACACAGGUGGUCAGGUAGAGAAUACCAAGGCGCUUGAGAGAACUCGGGUGAAGGAACUAGGCAAAAUGGUGCCGUAACUUCGGGAGAAGGCACGCUGACACGUAGGUGAAGUGGUUUACCCAUGGAGCUGAAGUCAGUCGAAGAUACCAGCUGGCUGCAACUGUUUAUUAAAAACACAGCACUGUGCAAACACGAAAGUGGACGUAUACGGUGUGACGCCUGCCCGGUGCCGGAAGGUUAAUUGAUGGGGUUAUCCGUAAGGAGAAGCUCUUGAUCGAAGCCCCGGUAAACGGCGGCCGUAACUAUAACGGUCCUAAGGUAGCGAAAUUCCUUGUCGGGUAAGUUCCGACCUGCACGAAUGGCGUAAUGAUGGCCAGGCUGUCUCCACCCGGGACUCAGUGAAAUUGAACUCGCUGUGAAGAUGCAGUGUACCCGCGGCAAGACGGAAAGACCCCGUGAACCUUUACUAUAGCUUGACACUGAACACUGGUCCUUGAUGUGCAGGAUAGGUGGGAGGCUUUGAAGUGUGGACGCCAGUCUGCAUGGAGCCGUCCUUGAAAUACCACCCUUUAAUGGCUGGUGUUCUAACGUGGGCCCGUGAACCGGGUUGCGGACAGUGUCUGGUGGGUAGUUUGACUGGGGCGGUCUCCUCCUAAAGAGUAACGGAGGAGCACGAAGGUUGGCUAAUCCUGGUCGGACAUCAGGAGGUUAGUGCAAUGGCAUAAGCCAGCUUGACUGCGAGCGUGACGGCGCGAGCAGGUGCGAAAGCAGGUCAUAGUGAUCCGGUGGUUCUGAAUGGAAGGGCCAUCGCUCAACGGAUAAAAGGUACUCCGGGGAUAACAGGCUGAUACCGCCCAAGAGUUCAUAUCGACGGCGGUGUUUGGCACCUCGAUGUCGGCUCAUCACAUCCUGGGGCUGAAGUAGGUCCCAAGGGUAUGGCUGUUCGCCAUUUAAAGUGGUACGCGAGCUGGGUUUAGAACGUCGUGAGACAGUUCGGUCCCUAUCUGCCGUGGGCGCUGGAAGAUUGAGGGGGGCUGCUCCUAGUACGAGAGGACCGGAGUGGACGCAUCACUGGUGUUCGGGUUGUCAUGCCAAUGGCACUGCCCGGUAGCUACAUGCGGAAGAGAUAAGUGCUGAAAGCAUCUAAGCACGAAACUUGCCCCGAGAUGAAUCUUCCCUGAGCCUUUAAGGCUCCUGAAGGAACGUUGAAGACGACGACGUUGAUAGGCCGGGUGUGUAAGCGCAGCGAUGCGUUGAGCUAACCGGUACUAAUGAACCGUGAGGCUUAACCUUACAACGCCGAAG